CAGCCGCCACGGGAAUACGAAGGGGGCUAGCGUUGCUCGGAAUUACUGGGCGUAAAGGGCGCGUAGGCGGAUGUUUAAGUCAGAGGUGAAAGCCCAGGGCUCAACCUUGGAACUGCCUUUGAUACUGGACAUCUUGAGUGUGGGAGAGGUGAGUGGAACUCCGAGUGUAGAGGUGAAAUUCGUAGAUAUUCGGAAGAACACCAGUGGCGAAGGCGACUCACUGGCCCAUUACUGACGCUGAGGCGCGAAAGCGUGGGGAGCAAACAGGAUUAGAUACCCGUGUAGUCCCUGUCUCUUAUAU
rnacentral:rRNA from 1 species